GGAUUGUGGCUCAGUGGUACAGCACUCGCCUAACACGAGGGAGGCCCUGGGUUCAACCCUCAAACCA
rnacentral:tRNA from 1 species